rnacentral:rRNA from 1 species
AUUGAACGCUGGCGGCAGGCUUAACACAUGCAAGUCGAGCGGGGGAAGGUAGCUUGCUACCGGACCUAGCGGCGGACGGGUGAGUAAUGCUUAGGAAUCUGCCUAUUAGUGGGGGACAACAUCGCGAAAGGGAUGCUAAUACCGCAUACGUCCUACAGGAGAAAGCGGGGGAUCUUCGGACCUUGCGCUAAUAGAUGAGCCUAAGUCGGAUUAGCUAGUUGGUGGGGUAAAGGCCUACCAAGACGACGAUCUGUAGCGGGUCUGAGAGGAUGAUCCGCCAAACUGGGACAGAGACACGGCCCAGACUCCUACGGGAGGUAGCAGUGGGGAAUAUUGGACAAUGGGGGGAACCCUGAUCCAGCCAUGCCGCGUGUGUGAAGAAGGCCUUAUGGUUGUAAAGCACUUUAAGCGAGGAGGAGGCUACUUUAGUUAAUACCUAGAGAUAGUGGACGUUACUCGCAGAAUAAGCACCGGCUAACCCUGUGCCAGCAGCCGCAGUAA